ensembl:lncRNA
GGGGAGCACGGGUUAUUGAUGUCCGGGUGUUUUUCAGUGGAUGCAAGGGUAACCGGCUGCUGGAGACGUACUGUAUAUCAUUUUGUGUAACAUUGCAGCCCGAGAUUAGUGAGGGGUCCCUGGGGUCUCACUCGUCACUCCAUUUCCUAAAUUGACAGCUGGAGAAACUCUAUUCCACCGGACGUGAUAAACGACACUGGGCGUCGGAGGAGAGCGUCGCAGAAGAGAGAAAGGAUUGAUAAAUGAGGGAGGUUGGAAAGAAUCAGGGCAGAUGAAAGUUGUUGGGCAGUGAGAAAUGACUGACAGCUCAUUAUGAAAAUCCAAGGAGGGAACCUAACUUGUUCAGCCACUCCUUUUUACUGUGUUUUCUUGUCUUUUUCCCCGUUUGAAAUGCACAAAACGCAGACACAAAUGUGCACUAAUAUGAGUGCUUUUAGUUAUCUGGAAAUGUUCUUUUUUUGGCGUCUGAGAAGGAGGAAAAACAGAAAUUCUAGUCAAAUUUAAGCAAAACCUGAAAGUCUUGUUUAAUAAAACACAAAUAGUUUAGCGUUGUUUUUUUACACUCAUCGGUGGCAAGCAACCAGAUUUCAGGACUGGUUGCUGUUUUUGGUUAAUUGGUCCACUUUUAUCAACCUCACCUCACCCAGCUUUUGAAGGUUUCCACCUUCUGUAUGUUCAAUACUUUCCAUGUCUGUUUUUAAUCACACGAGCAGGUGUUUGAGCUGGACAGAGGUUAUUGUUUUGGCAGGAACAUUCUUUUUUUUUUUUUUUUUUUUGCAUUGUUCACUGCUGUAUAACCCCCUUGUCAUUUACAUUUAAAUCAUAUAAAAAGCUAUAAGUCACCCAUGAGGACACUAGAAAGCUCAAAGAAACCCCCGAGAGUGCCAGUUGGCAGUGCUUUAUUGGGUAUUUUCCCUCAGUACUCUUACUAGCUUCUUGCAACCUCACUCAAUUUAGUUGUUUUAGCCCCCUAUGGCCGUGUUGCUGAUUUUGAAUAAGUGCUCAGGGCAAGAGGGGUCAGCUGCAAUUUCAGCUGUAGCUAAACUGGUCUUUUCUAAUGUGAGAUCUGAGGUGACUUUGACUUUUGAUUAAUGACAGUUCUCCAAAGGACAUCUCACCAGCAAAAACUUUCCACAGCAUGAAAAUCACUUCCAGUAAAAAAGAAGAAGAAGAAGAAGAAAACAUCUAUAUCUUUAUGCAUACACAAUCCAGCAGCGACUGACUGCAUUCAAUGUGAAAUAGUACCCAGGUGCCGUUACAGGAGGCAAACAGUGAAAGUGUUUGUUAUUAAAAUAUUUGUACUUUUUGGGCCC